rnacentral:misc_RNA from 1 species
UUGCGGAUCACGACCCGCCACCUGACGGAAAAUUAACUAGGUCGGGCCGACUAGUUCGCAAGCCCACUAUUUUUGAUUUAUAGUAUGUGUAAGGCCGCCAGGGGUGCUGUGUUCAGCGUCUUCUUGGUGGCCGAUCUCGGUUAAUGUUCCUUCUUCGCAAUUGUUCAACAAGGUAGAGCAGACGCCAUUAUAAGUUGUGUCAGAAUCUGAAUAAAAGCUAGAGAAUCAGCAACAAUUUACCUGAGUCAAGUGUCUUCAAAUCAAUAAUUACUUAUCAGGUAUUAUCAGUAAAAGUAAUUAUUGUCAAUAACCAUGAUUUCUCAUUGCUGUAUAUUGGUCAGCUGUAAAAUCUUUGGGUGAAUCAAGUUCAGUGCAACGCCCCAAAUUCUUACAAGCUUCACAAGCAGUUAAAUGUUUCCUUGUCUUUACUAUGUAACCACAAAGGUCAUAUACCAUAACGUUUGAUUGAUUGACAGAAAUUCAAGUGCUAUUAGAAGAAUACAAUUGUGCCAGACGUACUCCUUCUAUCUUCCGAGUGAUUAUUCCCUUAACUAUUGUGGAUAACAGAGCAAUCUGCCACAAAUGUUAUUCUUACAUGAAGGAGCUGCUUCAAGAAGGGACAAUUCUCCUUUACCCAGCCUUGAACAUGUGGAAUUCCAGGAUUUGUGUGGAUUUUGGCUUGACGACCGCCAAAUGGCAGUUCAAUCAGUUCAAGAUAGUGGUUUUCAAAUGAUUUUUGACCCUAUAAUUAAAGUUUUUGAACCUAAUUCUGCGAUUAAUUGUCAAAACAUACGCCAAGAAAUAAUUAAAGUGGCAUCUGAUAGACGCGCUUCUAUUUCCAAAGAGGUAGCAGGGAAACUCUUCUGUGUGAAAUUUGACUGUUGCACACCGCUUGAUCGUCAUAUACUUGGAAUAAACAUCCAAUAUGCUGAAAAAGAUGGCGACGGAGGAAAAGAAGACAUUGAUUUUGAUGAACUUGACAUAAAUAAUGACGAAGAAAAAGAAGAACUUGUUAUUAACGAACUCUCGGAAAGCAUUCGCGAUGUUGUGCGUGGAUUUCGGUGUGCAGCGCACUUAUUACAAAUCGCAGUGCUGGACGAGUUUAAAUUGAAAUCUGUUAACAGAUUAAUUGCAAAAGCCCGUGCGGCGAUGAAAGCUUUAAAAAAUCCGGUGUUUAUGGUUUCGAUUCGGCGUAGUUAACUGAAAAAACAACACUUGAUGGGAAAACCACGUGUGGAACCCGACAUUUGCGAUGCUAGCUCGUCUUCUUGAGCUUCGGGACUUCAUCACCGAAACAGAAAAUUCUCGUGCAGAUUUAAAGAUCAGUGAGAUUCAAUGGAUUGGCAUCCAGGGGAUAUCUUCCGUUCCCGAGCCGGCCCGAAAAGCAUCAGUCAGGUUACAAAUGGAACAGCUGACCAUAGGGGAUUUUUACUAACUGUUGACGUCGUGUAAAAUGGAGGUAGAAGAAAUCGACACAGUAUUUGCGAAAGCUUUUUCCGCGGCUCUUCAAACACGGGAAAAUAUGUUGAUGGAUAAUGACAUUUUUCGAUCAGCUAUAUAACUAGAUCCUAGAUUUAAGGUUAAUUGAAAUAAAAUAGAUUCGCUUUGUAUAA